GGUAAAAUGGCUGAAGUUAGGCGAUAAAUUGUAAAUUUAUUUAUGAGUAAUCUUUUACUA
rnacentral:tRNA from 1 species